GUAGGUGGCAAGCGUUGUCCGGAAUUAUUGGGCGUAAAGCGCGCGCAGGCGGUUCUUUAAGUCUGAUGUGAAAGCCCACGGCUCAACCGUGGAGGGUCAUUGGAAACUGGAGAACUUGAGUACAGAAGAGGAAAGCGGAAUUCCACGUGUAGCGGUGAAAUGCGUAGAGAUGUGGAGGAACACCAGUGGCGAAGGCGGCUUUCUGGUCUGUAACUGACGCUGAGGCGCGAAAGCGUGGGGAGCAAACAGGGAUUAGAUACCCUGGUAGUCCACGCCGUAAACGAUGAGUGCUAAGUGUUAGGGGGGGUUUUCCGCCCCCUUAGUGCUGCAGCUAACGCAUUAAGCACCCCCGCCUGGGGAGUACGGCCGCAAGGCUG
rnacentral:rRNA from 1 species